rnacentral:rRNA from 1 species
UACGGAGGGUGCAAGCGUUAUCCGGAUUUAUUGGGCUUAAAGGGCGCGUAGGCGGGCGAGUAAGUCAGUGGUGAAAUCUCCGGGCUUAACCCGGAAACUGCCAUUGAUACUAUUUGUCUUGAAUGCUUUAGAGGUAAGCGGAAUAUGUCAUGUAGCGGUGAAAUGCUUAGAUAUGACAUAGAACACCAAUUGCGAAAGCAGCUUACUACACAAUAAUUGACACUGAGGCACGAAAGCGUGGGGAUCAAACAGG